rnacentral:rRNA from 1 species
GUGGGGAAUAUUGGACAAUGGGCGAAAGCCUGAUCCAGCCAUGCCGCGUGUGUGAAGAAGGUCUUCGGAUUGUAAAGCACUUUAAGUUGGGAGGAAGGGCAGUAAGUUAAUACCUUGCUGUUUUGACGUUACCGACAGAAUAAGCACCGGCUAACUUCGUGCCAGCAGCCGCGGUAAUACGAAGGGUGCAAGCGUUAAUCGGAAUUACUGGGCGUAAAGCGCGCGUAGGUGGUUUUGUAAGUUGGAGGUGAAAUCCCCGGGCUCAACCUGGGAACUGCAUCCAAAACUGCAGGACUAGAGUACGGUAGAGGGUAGUGGAAUUUCCUGUGUAGCGGUGAAAUGCGUAGAUAUAGGAAGGAACACCAGCGGCGAAGGCGACUACCUGGACUGAUACUGACACUGAGGUGCGAAAGCGUGGGGAGCAAACAGGAUUAGAAACCCGGUAGUCC